rnacentral:rRNA from 2 species
CCUACGGGAGGCAGCAGUGGGGAAUAUUGCACAAUGGGGGAAACCCUGAUGCAGCGACGCCGCGUGAGUGAAGAAGUAUUUCGGUAUGUAAAGCUCUAUCAGCAGGGAAGAAAAUGACGGUACCUGACUAAGAAGCCCCGGCUAACUACGUGCCAGCAGCCGCGGUAAU